rnacentral:rRNA from 1 species
UACGGAGGGAGCUAGCGUUGUUCGGAAUUACUGGGCGUAAAGCGCACGUAGGCGGCUUUGUAAGUUAGAGGUGAAAGCCCGGGGCUCAACUCCGGAACUGCCUUUAAGACUGCAUCGCUUGAAUCCAGGAGAGGUGAGUGGAAUUCCGAGUGUAGAGGUGAAAUUCGUAGAUAUUCGGAAGAACACCGGUGGCGAAGGCGGCCAACUGGACGGUGACUGACGCUGAGACGCGAAAACGUGGGGAGCAAACAGG